rnacentral:rRNA from 1 species
GAUGAACGCUAGCGAUAGGCUUAACACAUGCGAGUCGAGGGGCAGCAUGGUCUUAGCUUGCUAAGACUGAUGGCGACCGGCGCACGGGUGCGUAACGCGUAUGCAACUUGCCUCACAGAGGGGGAUAACCCGUCGAAAGACGGACUAAUACCGCGUACACUUGGGAUAGGGCAUCCUGACCCAAGGAAAUGAAAUUCGCUGUGAGAUAGGCAUGCGUCCCAUUAGCUAGUUGGUGAGGUAACGGCUCACCAAGGCGACGAUGGGUAGGGGAACUGAGAGGUUGAACCCCCACACUGGUACUGAGACACGGACCAGACUCCUACGGGAGGCAGCAGUGAGGAAUAUUGGUCAAUGGGCGAGAGCCUGAACCAGCCAAGUCGCGUGAAGGAUGACUGUCUUAUGGAUUGUAAACUUCUUUUAUACGGGAAUAACAAGAGUCACGUGUGGCUCCCUGCAUGUACCGUAUGAAUAAGCAUCGGCUAACUCCGUG